UGGGGAAUUUUGGACAAUGGGGGAAACCCUGAUCCAGCCAUGCCGCGUGAGUGAAGAAGGCCUUCGGGUUGUAAAGCUCUUUCGGCUGGGAAGAAAUCGCACAGGCUAAUACUCUGUGUGGAUGACGGUACCAGCACAAGAAGCACCGGCUAACUACGUGCCAGCAGCCGCGGUAAUACGUAGGGUGCGAGCGUUAAUCGGAAUUACUGGGCGUAAAGCGUGCGCAGGCGGUUGUGCAAGACAGAUGUGAAAUCCCCGGGCUCAACCUGGGAACUGCAUUUGUGACUGCACGACUAGAGUACGGCAGAGGGGGGUAGAAUUCCACGUGUAGCAGUGAAAUGCGUAGAGAUGUGGAGGAAUACCGAUGGCGAAGGCAGCCCCCUGGGUCGAUACUGACGCU
rnacentral:rRNA from 1 species